CCUACGGGGGGCAGCAGUGGGGAAUAUUGGACAAUGGGGGCAACCCUGAUCCAGCCAUGCCGCGUGUGUGAAGAAGGCCCUCGGGUUGUAAAGCACUUUCAGUGAGGAAGAACGCCUGGUGGUUAAUACCCAUCAGGAAAGACAUCACUCACAGAAGAAGCACCGGCUAACUCCGUGCCAGCAGCCGCGGUAAUACGGAGGGUGCGAGCGUUAAUCGGAAUUACUGGGCGUAAAGCGCGCGUAGGUGGCUUGAUAAGCCGGUUGUGAAAGCCCCGGGCUCAACCUGGGAACGGCAUCCGGAACUGUCAAGCUAGAGUGCAGGAGAGGAAGGUAGAAUUCCCGGUGUAGCGGUGAAAUGCGUAGAGAUCGGGAGGAAUACCAGUGGCGAAGGCGGCCUUCUGGACUGACACUGACACUGAGGUGCGAAAGCGUGGGUAGCAAACAGGAUUAGAUACCCGAUAGUC
rnacentral:rRNA from 1 species